UUUAUGGCUGAAGGGGGCUCUCAAAAAGAUCAUGAUGAAUCUUCCACAGCCACUGAUUUGAGUUCUUAUAAUGAUCCUUCGGAGGGGUCCAUAAAAGACGAUGGGCCAGCAGACGCAAGGCCAGGAUGUGGAUCAAUCGAUUUUAAAAAUGGCCAAUUAGGCUUCUGGUGCGUUAUUUGCUAAUCUGUUUGCAAAUUACGCUGCGAAAUAAAAACAUGCCCAUUCCACAUUCCUUUUAGACGACCAAAGGAAUUUUUAAAUAUACAUUUUUUUUUGGUUUUCAAACAAAUAAAUAUAUUUACUAUUUGUACAGCAAUU